rnacentral:pre_miRNA from 1 species
AAUUUGAACUGAAAAAGUCAUCAACAACAAAGUUGUAUAACUCAUCAAGAUCUAUAACUUUUAUUUUGAUCAUUUAUUCAUCCGACAAAGUGAUAAUAAUAUUGUUCACAAAAUUUACAUCUCUCAUAUGAUUUUAUAAAAUAGGUUUUAUAAACUAUAAGAGAGAUAUGCAAAUUUUGUGAACAAUAUUACUAUCACUUUGUCGGAUCAAUAAAUGAUUAAAAUAAAAGUUGUAUGUCUUGAUGAGUUCUACAACUUUUAAUGUUCGUGACUUUUUCAGCUGAAAUU